rnacentral:tRNA from 1 species
ACAUCCUUAGCUCAGUAGGAUAGAGCAACAGCCUUCUAAGCUGGUGGUCACAGGUUCAAAUCCUGUAGGAUGUA